rnacentral:rRNA from 1 species
CCUACGGGAGGCAGCAGUAGGGAAUCUUUCACAAUGGGCGAAAGCCUGAUGGAGCAACGCCGCGUGCAGGAUGAAGGCCUUCGGGUUGUAAACUGCUUUUAUAAGCGAGAAAUAUGAUGGUAACUUAUGAAUAAGGAUCGGCUAACUACGUGCCAGCAGCCGCGGUCAUACGUAGGAUCCGAGCAUUAUCCGGAGUGACUGGGUGUAAAGAGUUGCGUAGGUGGCAUAAUAAGUAGCUAGUGAAAUCUGGUGGCUCAACCAUUCAGACUAUUAGCUAAACUGUUAAGCUCGAGACCGUUAGGGGUAACUGGAAUGUCUAGUGUAGGAGUGAAAUCCGUAGAUAUUAGAAGGAACACCAAUAGCGUAGGCAGGUUGCUGGGACGGUUCUGACACUAAGGCACGAAAGCGUAGGGAGCAAACGGUAUUAGAUACCCCAGUAGUC